rnacentral:misc_RNA from 1 species
AACGCACAUUGCGCGCCUUGGUAUUCCGAGGGGCAUGCCUGUUCGAGCGUCAUUACAACCUUCAAGCUUAGCUUGGUAUUGGACUUCGUCACUUAUUUGACGGGUCUUAAAAUCAGUGGCGGUGUCGUUAUGGCCCUGAGCGUAGUAAAUAUCCUCGCUUUAGGGACCUGGCGGUCACUGGCCAACAAACCACUACUUUCUAAGUUUGACCUCGGAUCAGGUAGGGAUACCCGCUGAACUUAA